rnacentral:tRNA from 1 species
AGUAAAGUGCCCGAAGUUAAAGGAUUAUCUUGAUAGGAUAAAAUAUGUAGAACCCUACCUUUAUUA